rnacentral:rRNA from 1 species
UACGUAGGGACCGAGCGUUGUCCGGAUUCAUUGGGCGUAAAGAGCUCGUAGGCGGCUGCUCAAGUCGAAUGUGAAAACUCGAGGCUCAACCUCGAGCCUGCAUUCGAUACUGGGCGGCUAGAGUCUGGUAGGGGGAUCUGGAAUUCCUGGUGUAGCGGUGGAAUGCGCAGAUAUCUGGAGGAACACCGGUGGCGAAGGCGGCGUUCUGGACUGCAACUGACACUGAGGAACGAAAGCCAGGGGAGCAAACGGG